rnacentral:rRNA from 1 species
UACGUAGGGUGCGAGCGUUGUCCGGAAUUAUUGGGCGUAAAGAGCUUGUAGGCGGUUUGUCGCGUCUGCCGUGAAAAUUCGAGGCUCAACCUCGAACUUGCGGUGGGUACGGGCAGACUAGAGUGUGGUAGGGGAGACUGGAAUUCCUGGUGUAGCGGUGAAAUGCGCAGAUAUCAGGAAGAACACCCGUGGCUAAGGCGGCUCUCUAGUACGGUACUGACGCUGAGACGCGAAAGCGUGGGGAGCGAACAGG